GAUGAACGCUAGCUACAGGCUUUAACACAUGCAAGUCGAACGGAGUUAAACGCUGAUUUGAAGAUAGCUUGCUAUAAGAUUUUCUUGUUUAACUUAGUGGCGGACGGGUGAGUAACGCGUGAGCAACCUGCCUUACAGAGGGGACAACAGUUGGAAACGACUGCUAAUACCGCAUAAUGUGGAGAGAGGACAUCCUCUUUUCACCAAAGGAGCAAUCCGCUGUAAGAUGGGCUCGCGUCCGAUUAGCCAGUUGGCGGGGUAACGGCCCACCAAAGCGACGAUCGGUAGCCGGACUGAGAGGUUGAACGGCCACAUUGGGACUGAGACACGGCCCAGACUCCUACGGGAGGCAGCAGUGGGGGAUAUUGCACAAUGGAGGAAACUCUGAUGCAGCAACGCCGCGUGAGGGAAGAAGGUUUU
rnacentral:rRNA from 1 species